rnacentral:rRNA from 1 species
AUUGAACGCUGGCGGCAUGCCUUACACAUGCAAGUCGAACGGCAGCACGGGGGCAACCCUGGUGGCGAGUGGCGAACGGGUGAGUAAUACAUCGGAACGUGUCCGGUAGUGGGGGAGUAGCCCGGCGAAAGCCGGAUUAAUACCGCAUACGACCUAAGGGUGAAAGCGGGGGAGUCGCAAGACCUCGCGCUAGUGGAGCGGCCGAUGUCAGAUUAGGUUGUUGGUGGGGUAAAGGCCUACCAAGCCGACGAUCUGUAGCUGGUCUGAGAGGACGACCAGCCACACUGGGACUGAGACACGGCCCAGACUCCUACGGGAGGCAGCAGUGGGGAAGUUUUGUCGCAAUGGGGGAAACCCGUGACGCAGCAACGCCGCGUGGAGGAAUGAAGGUCUUUGGAUUGUAAACUCCUUUUCGAUCGGGACGAUAAUGACGGUACCGGAGAAGAAGCACCGGCUAACUCUGUGCCAGCCGCCGCCGU